AGUGAACGCUGGCGGUAGGCCUAACACAUGCAAGUCGAACGGCAGCACAGUAAGCGCUUGCUCUUACGGGUGGCGAGUGGCGGACGGGUGAGGCAUACAUCGGAUUCUACUUUUUCGUGGGGGAUAACGUGGGGCAACUUACGCUAAUACAGCAUACGACCUACGGGUGAAAGCAGGGGAUCUUCGGACCUUGCGCGAUUGAAUGAGCCGAUGUCGGAUUAGCUAGUUGGCGUGGUAAAGGCCCACCAAGGCGACGAUCCGUAGCUGGUCUGAGAGGAUGAUCAGCCACACUGGAACUGAGACACGGUCCAGACUCCUACGGGAGGCAGCAGUGGGGAAUAUUGGACAAUGGGCGCAAGCCUGAUCCAGCCAUACCGCGUGGGUGAAGAAGGCCUUCGGGUUGUAAAGCCCUUUUGUUGGGAAAGAAAAGCAGCAGGUUAAUACCUCGCUGUUCUGACGGUACCCAAAGAAUAAGCACCGGCUAACUUCGUG
rnacentral:rRNA from 1 species